rnacentral:rRNA from 1 species
GAUGAACGCUGGCGGCGUGCCUAAUACAUGCAAGUCGAGCGAACAGACGAGGAGCUUGCUCCUCUGACGUUAGCGGCGGACGGGUGGUUAACACUUGGAUACCCACCUUUUAAGCUUGGGUUACCUUCGGGAACCCGGAGUUAAUACCGGUUAACAUGUUGAACCGCUUGUUUCAACGUGAAAGACCGUCUUUCUUUUACUUAUUAAUUGAUUCCGGGCCGCAUUAGCUAGUUGGUAAGGUAACGGCUUACCAAGGCAACGAUGCGUAGCCGACCUGAGAGGGUGAUCGGCCACACUGGAACUGAGACACGGUCCAGACUCCUACGGGAGGCAGCAGUAGGGAAUCUUCCGCAAUGGGCGAAAGCCUGACGGAGCAACGCCGCGUGAGUGAAGAAGGUCUUCGGAUCGUAAAACUCUGUUAUUAGGGAAGAACAAAUGUGUAAGUAACUAUGCACGUCUUGACGGUACCUAAUCAGAAAGCCACGGCUAACUACGUG